rnacentral:tRNA from 1 species
GCGGCCGUGGCGGAACGGCAGACGCGCUAGGUUGAGGGCUUAGUGGGAGUAUUCCCGUGGAGGUUCAAAUCCUCUCGGCCGCAUCA